UCAUAUAGUAAAUUAUAUUUUAUUUUUAUAUUCAAGAGCAUAAUUGUCAUUUUAUUUAAUUUUUAUUAAUUCAAUACCAUAUUUCAAUAUAAACAUUCAAAAAACAAUAUAGGAAUAUGCUAGAAAUAAACAAAUAAACAUCCAAAUAUAAUUUAGAACUUAUUUUAGUUUAUUUUAAAAUAUCUUCUGUUCUUAAGAAUAAUAAAAAUUAUUCUUAAACAAUUUAGUUCUCUAAUCAAACAUAGCGCAUAGUUCCAAAAAUGUUGCUCGUCAAAAGUGCUGCGUAAUGCAAUUAAUAGAAUCAGUCCUGGUCGCGUAUAUUUAUAUCACGGACCUGGUGCGCCACAUCAUUCUUGAACAACACAAAUUGUUCGCCGGUGAGGAAUUCUACACCAUCACAUUUGCACUACAUCAUCAAUAACAAAUCAAUUAUUUUUUUUUUUUCAAAAAAAACUACAUACAAUAAAAAUAUUUUUUUAUGAUUAAAGAAAUUUUUUGAUUGAUUUGUUACGUUACGUCACCAAUAUACUCGUUGCAUUCUAGAAUUUUUCGUUUGCCGGUCAUCUCAAUUCCCUUUUUUUUUAAAUCCGCAAAAAA
rnacentral:lncRNA from 1 species